GAAGAAGGCCUUUGGAAUUGUGAGAGACGAUUUUGGUACAAAUAGUUAAGAUGUGCAUGACCUCAGAGUCUAAGGGGAAUAGAGCCGUGGGGGUAGGGUAAAACAUGCUUCUCUAUAAUAAAGGACGAGACAGAGUAGAAAAACAAGUCCUUGAUUGAUAAGACCACUAACUCUGACAGAGAAGAAUAAGUCCUUGACUGAUAAGACUGCAGGCUAGAAAAACAACUAGGGAGACAUAUACUGCAGACUUUGUGAUAAGGGUCCAGAAUGGAAAAAUAAUGAAUGUUCAGAAUGUGAACCUCGUGACUCUUUAGAGCUAUAGAAGGGAGGAGCUUGAACUGUAUUUAAUCGAAAACUUUGUUAGCCUGGCGUGCCUUUUUUUUUCUCAAGGGUGCCCAACUCUGCAGACUUGUUAAUAAAACUUUGUUUUCCUGAA